CUUUUAGUAAUUUUUUAUUUGGGUAAUGCUUUUUCUGUGUUCCAUAUUAAGGCUUUUUUUUUUUUUUUUUUGCUAUCACUUGGAAUAGGUCUUUUACAGAGCAUAUUGCUUAGCACAGUAACCUGAAGUAUGCAUUGGAAUUGUGAAAUGUCUCAUGAAUUUGCCAGUCCCUAGAGUGGAACCAAAUGGCCUUUAAUGUAAAGGGCAGUAAAUGCAGGGGGCUCUACUUCAGGUGCUGCUAAAGCCUCCUCUAAUCAGGUCUAAAUUGUAUAGUAAACUGGUGGAAAGACUUUGUUUAGUUUCUGCUCAGGCCAAGGGAGUCACUGUCUUGUCCUUACAAAUUCAAAGCAGUAAGAGCAGAACCUCAACUUGAAAUACGCUCAAGUUUCACAGAUCUUGCAUGAUCUUUGACAAGAAUUCCAGAUGCACUUGUGCCCAAACAUUUAAGGUGUUAGGUAUUCUGUAGAUGCAGUGAUUGUCCCAGCCUAGCUUUGGUAUCAACCUUCUGGUAUGUCUUUAAGUUGAUCAUUUGGAGAGUCAGGGGUGAGAGACAGGUGAUGUAGCACUUCUGUUUUUAAUAAUUACAGCUUAAACUAUCCAGUAAUUUUUAGUCCUGAAAAGGGACACCAGGAUGCUACCCAGGAUUACUGAAAAGUCUUUCCGUCUAAUGAGAUAGUCUGGUAAUUUCCUAGUUUUUUAUCUUCAGUAGAACUAUUUCAAAGUGGCAUGUGACCACUUGAUGCAGAUGUCAGUGCAGGAAUCCCACUCCUGGGAAGCUAACAGAAUCACCUGAUGGGACCUGCAAAGUGUAUCUGGGCAAUAAUGUUGGAGUUACUUGAGGUGGCAGGCAGGAUGCCUGUGUUCUGAUGUGCUUGGGUGAGUAGCUGAGCCAGCCAAGGAGAGGUUGGAUGACUGAGAAACAAAGGAUUCUUGGUUAAUCUGAAGACAUCAUUUGGGAACCAAAAAUCUUUUAACAAAUAAUCUCUUGGACCUUGAGCCACAUAAAUCCCCUGAAAAGUGCAUUUUUUUCCAGCAAAAUUUUGUGGGGGUUAUGUUAUUGAGGAACUGAGAUGACUAUAUGGGAAAAGUUAUUUAAUAGCAUAGAAAUCUAAAGACCUGCAAGGAGACUUAAAAAUCCCAACCCUUGUUACAACUUUUUAAAAGAUACGUGGAAUUAUCAAAGUGCACAUGAAUCAAGUUUUAAUAUGCUGUAUGAUGGGUGGAUGAGGCUGUCCAUUGUACCAUUUCUUUCUUUGAAUUCUCAGGCAUGGUUUGGCAGUGCAAAAACUAUGUGUCAUUAACAAAUUCAAUAAAAAGUAAAUAUAUGGAAAAAAAAAAAA
ensembl:lncRNA